AGUGAACGCUGGCGGUAGGCCUAACACAUGCAAGUCGAACGGCAGCACAGUAAGAGCUUGCUCUUACGGGUGGCGAGUGGCGGACGGGUGAGGAAUACAUCGGGAUCUACUUUUUCGUGGGGGAUAACGUAGGGAAACUUACGCUAAUACCGCAUACGACCUACGGGUGAAAGCAGGGGAUCUUCGGACCUUGCGCGAUUGAAUGAGCCGAUGUCGGAUUAGCUAGUUGGCGGGGUAAAGGCCCACCAAGGCGACGAUCCGUAGCUGGUCUGAGAGGAUGAUCAGCCACACUGGAACUGAGACACGGUCCAGACUCCUACGGGAGGCAGCAGUGGGGAAUAUUGGACAAUGGGCGCAAGCCUGAUCCAGCCAUACCGCGUGGGUGAAGAAGGCCUUCGGGCUGUAAAGCCCUUUUGUUGGGAAAGAAAAGCAGCAGGUUAAUACCCCGCUGUUCUGACGGUACCCAAAGGAUAAGCACCGGCUAACUUCGUG
rnacentral:rRNA from 1 species